rnacentral:rRNA from 1 species
AUUGAACGCUGGCGGCAGGCUUAACACAUGCAAGUCGAGCGAGCGGCGGACGGGUGUGUAAUGUCUGGGCAACUGCCUGAUGGCGGGGGAUAACUACUGGAAACGGUAGCUAAUACCGCAAACCAUCAGCUGUGCCCAGCUGGGAUUAGCUAGUAGGUGGGGUAAUGGCUCACCUAGGCGACGAUCCCUAGCUGGUCUGAGAGGAUGACCAGCCACACUGGAACUGAGAAACGGUCCAGACUCCUACGGGAGGCAGCAGUGGGGAAUAGUGCACAAUGGGCGCAAGCCUGAGGCAGCCAGGCCGCGUGUGUGAAGAAGGCCUUCGGGUUGUAAAGCACUUUCAGCGAGGAGGCGUUACUCGCAGAAGAAGCACCGGCUAACUCCGUGCCAGCAGCCGCGGUAAUUC